CCUUAAUUUCUCAGAACGUGCGUGCGGUUUGGGGGGCGUCGGGGUGGAAGUGAGGCCGGCGCCCGGCGGCGAGUGGCGCGGACGCGGCUGGAAUUGCGGCUAACCUACGCAUCGCCGGCGCCAGCGGCCAGAAGCUGUGGCGGCGGCUUCGACGACGGCGACUGGGCCUGUGGCCGACGGCGAGUGGCACGGGCGCGGCUGGAAUUGCGGCAAACCUAGGCGGCGCCGGUGGCUUCGACGACGACGACGGCCUGAGCGAAGAGCAGCUCGACCGUCUCGAGCGGGACGCCUACCGCAAGGCCGCCUCCUCCACCGCCUCGACCUCUCCCGCGACCUCGCCGCUGCUCAAUCCCAUCAGGAACGAGCAAGGUUAGGGUUUUCUCCGCUCCCAUCGCGGCCCUCUCAUCGAUUUGCGGCUUCCCCUUCGGGUUCGCCAAGCUAUGACCACCCGUCACAUCCGGAAUCCCUGGGCGAGCUCACGACCACGACAUAAUCCAUCGUUCCCUCCGACUGGACGCAGAGGAAAGCUGGUUCCUGCUGCUACUACGAGCCAACUCUUAGUGCGGAGGAAGCUGCAAGGAAACUUCUGCUGAAUCAAUUAUCUGGCAAGAAUCUCUCUGAUUAAUUCCAGCGCAAUGGAGCCUUGCAUAAUUCUUCAUCUCAUUUGUCUCUUCACUUCUCGUGCAUGGUGUUCUAGAGAGAAAGGAGAUUGAAGAAGAGAAGGAUUUUGGAAAUCCCAGGCUUCUGAGGCUGUGUUUAAUUCGGUGCCAUUUGCUUGAGCUGAUGAAAAGAUUAUACUGCAGAGUUGGCCCGAUCACAUCCUUUGAAUCGUUGUUUCUGCUGGGAGUUCAUCUUUCAGGAACUUUUGGAUGGUUCGCUGGUUUGUCGUAACAUCAGGGUAUUGUGUUCAACUUAAAGUCUGAAAUGCAAUUCUUCCAGCAAGAGGUAUUUACUUGCAAAGCUAGGAUGCGGCAACAUGCUCUCAUGUGACAUUAUUCAUAUUCUUUCUCUCUUUCUAGAUGUGUUUGUGUUCUUUCUCUUCAACAAUUUGUGAGGUUGAAAGUGGUCAUUGGUUUCUUUUCAUCCUUCAUGUAUUCAUGAGAACCUUUAUAGUGACUAAAAGAUUCAGUAGACACGUGUAGGAGGAACUAGCUUUGAAUCAUUCAGGAGUUUCUAUUUCCUUAAAAAAACUACAAAUAUUCCUUUUGUACACACUAAAUAUAUAGAAUGUGUUUGGGUCAAUCUUCCAGUGAUAGUGUGACUGGACCAGAUCUUGACUUGGUGCAUGCUAUUGUUCAAAGUUCACAUUGUAUAGCGCAACGGGAAUUAGCAGUGGUUUUGAACUUUUGAUAUCAGUGCUGCUGUCUAUGUGACUUUUCUCUUUUCCUUCGGAGGACUUGCCAUCUGUUUCACCAGCAGCAGUAGCCGAGCUGCAGUUCCCUGGAAAGCUUCGAUGCAUUAGAUUGAUAACAAAUGGUUUUUUUGUUAAGAAACCAUUUUCCUUUGUGGUAGAUUCGUGUAGCCGUUAUUCUGCUGACUAAGGUACUCACUGUUAGGAUAAAUUUGCUGAUUUAGAAUUUGUUUUACGACGACUUGAGAAGCUCGUUUUUGCAUCAUCUAAUUAUCGUCUCACAAGUAGAAACAACAAAUACUGAAAUUUAUUGCAUAGUUGCAUUCUGAAUCCUGUUAUUGCUGGUCAAACUAAUGUUCAUACUUGAUUAAGUUUACCAUCGUUCGGUUAAAACCAUAUUCGUUUUAUGGAGUAGUUACGAUAAUCAUUGUACAUGUGAUUUUUAGUGCAAAUGCAGAUAGUUAUCUGAUUAGACAUUGCACUAAUGUAUACACCAGCAUAGGUAUCCUGCAACAACUUUGACAUCAGCCCACAUAAUAGUAUUAAAUAUCUGGGAGAAACUACAGGAGUUCCAAUGUUCAGUUUUAUUUUCCUUCAAUAAUGUUGAACUUAGCUAGGUGUAGUCUUGCUUUAAACGUUUUGAUUUAAGUACCUUCUUUGUUAUACCUUUUGUGCUUUGCCGAUAGUUAAGGAUUUGCAUUUAACAUAGAUUGAUCAUACAUUUUACCUAGUUAGUGUAAGUGUAUAUCAGUAUAUGAACACCAUGUGGAUUGUUGUUUUGCAUAUUGGCUAAUGCUUUGUGGAAUCUGCUUCUGGAUAUGGAUUUUAUGGAGAAGUUAUAAGGGAGAGUCAAAACUACUGAUGGAUGGGCCCUGCACGCUAUUAUUUUUCUGGAGCAAUGGUCUUUCUGAAGCACAUGUGAUUGAUCUUAUGAGGCAAAAGUGGCCUUUUCUUGAGAAUAUUAGCACUCUCACGGCAUCAACAGAAAAUGUUGCAAAUGGAGUACAGCCUCUGCAAUCUAGUCAAAAAAGACCUCUGAAGAUCAUCUGCCGAACAUAUUGUUCUAUAUGUAAAGAAAUUUCAACAUCUAAACGAAAUUCAGGAGACAGAUCCCAGACAGCUCUUGCAAUUUGUCAGGGCUCUUUCAGAGUAGUUAGUUAGCAUUGCAAAGUGAUGGCAAUACCCAUUCCCGAAAUUAGUUAACUGUGCUGAGUUACUUCUAAGUUUUCUUUGCAAAGGAAAGAGUAUACCUUAUGUCCGUUUACUUUCACUUGAGUUGAACUUAGGCAUCACAGAAACAAGAGCGACAUAGGAAAUAUACUUGUUGUAUUCUUCAUCUGUCUAGUUAGUACAGUAAGAAGCAAGAGCGACACAGAAAAUAUACUUGAAACAUUAUUCGUGUUA